AGCAGCCGCGGUAAUACGGAGGGUGCGAGCGUUAAUCGGAAUUACUGGGCGUAAAGCGCAUGCAGGCGGCCUGUUAAGUCAGAUGUGAAAGCCCGGGGCUUAACCUCGGAAUUGCAUUUGAAACUGGCAGGCUAGAGUCUUGUAGAGGGGGGUAGGAAUUUCUAGGUGUAGCGGUGAAAUAGCGUAGAGAUCUGAAAGGAAUACCAGUGGCGAAGGCGGCCCCCUGGACAAAGACUGACGCUCAGAUGCGAAAGCGUGGGGAGCAAACAGGAUUAGAUACCCCUGGUAG
rnacentral:rRNA from 1 species